GCAAUCAGCCUUCACAUCUGAAAGAGCCUAAUAGCAAGCUGCAGCAUUUUUGCAAUGUGAGAGUGAGGAGCUGAGAUGAAAACCCAAGCUUCCUAGUUCCUAAUCCAGAGCUUGUAGUGUCUUUGUGAUACAGCCUUGCAGAGAGGUUAAAAAAAAAUCCCCAAAUGAAAACUGAUGGCUUAUCUAUUUAAAGUAGAGGCAGCAAAUAACUCAUGAAUUCAUGCCUUUGCUUAUUACGUCCCUUGCAGUGGAGAUGGAUGGAUGAGUCGAUCUAUCUCUGCCUACAUGUCUCUCUGCACUAUGCAAGGAAGAUGAGAUAGGUUGGGGAAAGCAGUGAGGUAUGAUGGAUAGAGGACAUGGCCGAGACUCAGAGAACUGAAGAUAUAGCCCUAGUUCUGCCGACAGAGUGAACUUGAGGAAAAGAAAACAUCAGCACCAGAGCCAAACCUAUUUCUCCGGGGAGAGGAUUCCUGCAGGGGAGGUCUGCUCAUGUUCUGGGGGCUGCCCUCCAUCAUGGCUACCUACCUUCGGAAUGUUUGCUUUCACUGGGCCCUCCUGGAUGGAUUGGCAACUCUUCCCAAGUCAGACCCUGGUAUGCCCUUGUUGGUUUCUAGCAGUUAGCAGGCUGGGCAAGGAGGCGACUGGGAAGAGUCCUCCUCAAUGAACGCAUGCGUGUAAGAGGGAAGGAAUGAACUACGAACAGGAAGUAAAUUUCUUUCCAAGAGAAAAAAGCUGGAAAAAUAAUUGUUCCUCUUGUUUAGAAGAUGACAGCUUUUUUUUUUCUUCAUUAAGCGCCCUUCUCUUCAAAAGACAAAAAAGGCAUCCUAUGAUUCCUAAGUCCCCUCUACCAGUCAAUACAUCAGUUGGAGGAGACACCUGGGAAAGUGGAGAAGUGGAACAAAUCAGAACUGCCUGUGCGUGCCUGGAUUUUCCAUUACUGCAGCUUGUUAUCACAUAGAGUUCUCUGCUUGUAAUGCAGAGAAGCUGGUGUCAGAAGCCCUUCACCCACUGGCAAAUUGAACGCAUUGACCUUCUCUUAUCAAGUGGUAACCCCAUGUCCUAUUUGUAAUGUGAUUAUUUUUUGGAAAGUCCAAGACUUUUCCCUCUAUCAGUUGUUUCAAACUUUAAUGCACAUCAGGAUCACUUGGAGGACUUUUGUUAAAGCACAGAUUUCUCAGCCCCACUUCCAGUUUUUCAUGCAGCAAGUCUGGGGCUGAAGAAUUUGCAUUUCUAGAAAGUGCCCAGGUGAUGCUAAUAUUAUUGAUCUGGAGACUACAUUUUGAGAACCAUUGUUCUACAAGAAAGCAGACAGGAUUACUUUGCCAAAACAUUGGUCCAAACAUAUAUUCCUCAACACAGACUCAGAUUAAAUCUCAAAUGCUACGGGACAAGUUUUACCAUUUUUUAUAUAAUAGCUUAAACAUUAAAUCCGACCGUAGAACCCAUAAGCUUGAAAGCUUUUGCAAGGUAGAGAGCAACAAUUAUGACAUUAAGCUAGAAUUAAGUGGACUUUUCAAUGAAGACUUGAAGGGUCCCAAAACCUUAUUAAUGAUCAUAAUGACAUGUAGUUCUGUAGCCAGAAAGCUCAGUUUAAAUAAAAUUGUAAGGGGAUGGCCCAGGGGGGUUUUAGCUUACCUUCCAGCUGUUUUUGUCCAACACCUAGAAUAGCAGUUGGCAAACAACGCCAGCAGGUCAAACCUGGCCUGCCAGCUGUAUUUGUAUGGCCUGUAAGCAAAGAAUGAUUUUCCCACUUUUAAAUGGUUGUCAAAAAAUGACUGUUUCAUGAAUGUGAAAAUUACGUGAAAUUCAAAUAACAGCCAAUUGCAAUGAUGGUUUCAUUAGUACAUAAAAUUUUAUUAGUACACAGCCAUUUCUACUGUUUUUGUGUUGUCUAUGGCAGAGUUGAGUAUUUGCAACAGAGAUGAUCUGGCCAACAGAGCCUAAAAUAUUUACCAUCUGGUCCUUUACAGAAAACAUUUUGCUGACCCCUAUGCAAGCAGGAAGGGGAUUGUAUUGUGGUAUCCAUUUGCAUGAGUGAAGCUCACAAAGAAGCCAUAAACAAUCCUUAGGAGAUGCAGGCCCAGUGGCCUUAGGACUUGGAGCAUGGACUGAAAAAUUCUAGGUUUUAAUAAAUAUUCCCAUCAGAUUAUUAACCGUCAUGGCAAUUAGCUGUGUCUGCCAAAAAGACCCUUUCUUUUGGCCCCUUGCCGUGUCCCUCAGUUCCCGGUGUCUGUGCGCUCUUGCUCACUUGCACUUUUGUUUGUUGAGAUGGAUUUUCGCUCUUGUUGCCCAGGCUGGAGUGCAAUGGUGCAAUCCUGGUUCACUGCA
rnacentral:lncRNA from 1 species